UACGUAGGGCGCAAGCGUUGUCCGGAAUUAUUGGGCGUAAAGAGCUCGUAGGCGGUUUGUCGCGUCUGCUGUGAAAACCUAAGGCUCAACCUUGGGCUUGCAGUGGGUACGGGCAGACUAGAGUGCGGUAGGGGUGACUGGAAUUCCUGGUGUAGCGGUGAAAUGCGCAGAUAUCAGGAGGAACACCGGUGGCGAAGGCGGCAUCCUGGACCAAUACUGACGCUGAGGAGCGAAAGCCAGGGGAGCAAACGGG
rnacentral:rRNA from 1 species